rnacentral:rRNA from 1 species
GACAGAGGUGCCAAGCGUUAGGCGGAAUCACUGGGCUUAAAGCGUGUGUAGGCGGAUCGUUAAGUGCCUUGUGAAAUCCCACGGCUCAACCGUGGAACUGCUUGGUAUACUGGCGGUCUUGAGCCAUCUAGGGGCUACUGGAACAAACGGUGGAGCGGUGAAAUGCGUAGAUAUCGUUUGGAACGCCAAUGGUGAAAACAGGUAGCUGGGGAUGUGCUGACGCUGAGACACGAAAGCCAGGGGAGCAAACGGG